rnacentral:tRNA from 1 species
GGCCCCGUAGCUCAGUUGGAUAGAGCACUUGCCUUCUAAGCCAGUUGUCACUGGUUCGAAUCCAGUCGGGGUCACCA